rnacentral:rRNA from 1 species
AUGAAUUUUAAACAACUUGAUCAUGAGCAUGUUGCCCAAUCUUGGGAAAGAAUGAAAUUGAUGCUUCGCAAUUGCCCUACUCAUGGUUUGAAUUUAUGGAUGAUCAUACAAAAUUUUUAUGCCGGUUUGAACUUUGCUUCUAGAAAUCUCUUAGAUUCGGCCGCGGGAGGUACCUUUAUGGAAAUCACGUUAGGAGAUGCUACAAAACUUCUUGAUAAUAUUAUGGCUAAUUAUUCUCAAUGGCAAACCAAAAUAUCUUCUAGUAAAAAAGUGCAUGCUAUAGAAGAAAUCAAUGUUUUGAGUGGAAAGAUGGAUGAACUUAUGAAGAUGUUUUCUACUAAAAAUACUCCUCUUGAUCCUAAUGAUAUGCCUUUUUCUUCCUUGAUUGAGAAUAAUAAUGAAUCUAUGGAUGUGAAUUUUGUUGGUAGGAAUAGUUUUGGAAACAAUGCUUAUAGAGGAAAUUUUAAUGCUAGACCAUUCCCUAGUAAUUCCUCUAAUAAUUAUGGAAAUUACUACAAUAAUUCUUAUGGUAAUUUUAAUAAGAUGCCCUCUGAUUUUGAGAAUAGUGUGAAAGAAUUUUGA